rnacentral:lncRNA from 1 species
GAAGUGCGAUGGUUUGGAAUUCUCGGAUCCCGACGUUAAUUGAAAGGAUUUGAGUUAAAAAGUCUAAAACAGGCACUGAUCAUCAUACAUUUUUUACUUCUUUUCAUAGCCUUUAUGACCCGAGUGAUUAAGCCUGUAAAACCUGGUGCCCUAAAGUCGUCUGACUCGGGAGUCAUCGGCCUAAAACUCGCUACAGGGGUCAUCUAGAAAGCUUAAUGGAAAGAAGCUUUGCACAUAAGAAAAAAAUAAAAAUAAAUAAACAGUUGGAUUCUCAUAUCAAAAGAAAAAGUAACACAUCUUUUACUUAUCUUCGUAGCCUUUUUGACUCGGGUUAUUAAGCCUGCAAGGGUAUCUAAAAACCCGAUGCCCUAUAGUCGUCUGACUUGGGAGUCAUCGACCUAAAGCUCGCAACAUGGGUCAUUUAAAAAGCUUAAUGAAGAGAAGUCUUGCACAGGAAAUGUCAAAAAAAAAUGAAGAAGAAAAAUUGAGAUAUAAAUUAUCAAAAGUAAGAUGUGCCUAGUAAUGACUUUGAGAUUUGAAUUCUAGAGAUUGGUGGUGUGGUUAUGAGAAAGACUUACUAUCUCUCGUUCUAGGUUUACAAGUAUCUAAUUCUGAACACUUGUGCGGAAAAAUGCAUCAUAAUGAUUUUUAGAAACC